AUACUUACCUGGCAGCAGAUACCGCGAUCAAGAAGGUGGGUUCACCAAAGGGCGAGGGCUUAACCAUUUACACUCCGGUUGUAAUGCUGACCCGGUCGCGAUUUCCCAAAUGUGAGUCUCGACUGCAUAAUGUUGUGGUAGUGCGGGGAUUCGUUACGCCUCACC